CAAGUGACCAAAACAGGCAAGGGGCUAGGUACAGAUGACUUCAGCCGCUAUCUGAGCCGUUAUCACCAGGCAUCAUGAUGAAGAAGCAACCCCUUGUUGGCUUUGCCGUCCUAAUGUUUCUUGUUGUAUCUCUUUAUGUUCUCGAGAAACAGAAGGUCUGUCCAGUUGAAAUGCAUCAGAAUGAGGUACACAAAGCAGAGGAACCUCGUGACUUACAUACAGCAAAUGAACCACUUGACUUUAUUAUCCCGAGUGACGACGAGCUGAAGAAGAUGUCCACUCAGGAACGGAGACAGAUAUAUUGGGAGU